rnacentral:rRNA from 1 species
AACGACUCUCGGCAACGGAUAUCUUGGCUCCCGCAUCGAUGAAGAACGUAGCGAAAUGCGAUACUUGGUGUGAAUUGCAGAAUCCCGCGAACCAUCGAGUCUUUGAACGCAAGUUGCGCCCGAAGCCAUUAGGCCGAGGGCACGCCUGCCUG